GUCUGGGUGGCUCAGAUGGUUGAGCAUCUGACUUUGGCUCAGGUCGUGAUCUCAUGGUUCGUGAGUUCGAGCCCUGCCUUGGGCU
rnacentral:tRNA from 1 species